AUGUCGACUGGUUGUUGGGGGUUUGACACUCUCAGUAACGAAGCUAACGCGUGAAGUCGACCGCCUGGGGAGUACGGCCGCAAGGUUAAAACUCAAAGGAAUUGACGGGGACCCGCACAAGCGGUGGAUUAUGUGGAUUAAUUCGAUGCAACGCGAAAAACCUUACCUACCCUUGACAUGUCCGAGAGCCUGCUGAGAGGCGGGUGUGCCCGAAAGGGAAUCGGAACACAGGUGCUGCAUGGCUGUCGUCAGCUCGUGUCGUGAGAUGUUGGGUUAAGUCCCGCAACGAGCGCAACCCUUGUCAUUAGUUGCUACAUUUAGUUGGGCACUCUAAUGAGACUGCCGGUGACAAACCGGAGGAAGGUGGGGAUGACGUCAAGUCCUCAUGGCCCUUAUGGGUAGGGCUUCACACGUAAUACAAUGGCGCGUACAGAGGGUAGCUAAGCCGCGAGGUGGAGCCAAUCCCGAAAAGCGCGUCGUAGUCCGGAUUGCAGUCUGCAACUCGACUGCAUGAAGUCGGAAUCGCUAGUAAUCGCGGAUCAGCAUGUCGCGGUGAAUACGUUCCCGGGUCUUGUACACACCGCCCGUCACACCAUGGGAGUGGGUUUCACCAGAAGCCGGUCGCUUAACCCGCAAGGGAUGGCGCCGACCACGGUGAGAUUCAUGACUGGGGUGAAGUCGUAA
rnacentral:rRNA from 1 species